GAUGAACGCUAGCUACAGGCUUAACACAUGCAAGUCGAGGGGAAACGAUAGAGAAGCUUGCUUUUUCUAGGCGUCGACCGGCGCACGGGUGAGUAACGCGUAUCCAACCUGCCCACCACUUGGGGAUGACCUUGCGAAAGUAAGACUAAUACCCAAUGACGUCUCUAGAAGACAUCUGAAAGAGAUUAAAGAUUUAUCGGUGUACGAUGGGGAUGCGUUCCAUUAGGUAGUAGGCGGGGUAACGGCCCACCUAGCCAACGAUGGAUAGGGGUUCUGAGAGGAAGGUCCCCCACAUUGGAACUGAGACACGGUCCAAACUCCUACGGGAGGCAGCAGUGAGGAAUAUUGGUCAAUGGACGAGAGUCUGAACCAGCCAAGUAGCGUGAAGGAUGAAGGUCCUACGGAUUGUAAACUUCUUUUAUAAGGGAAUAAACCCUCCCACGUGUGGGAGCUUGUAUGUACCUUAUGAAUAAGCAUCGGCUAACUCCGUG
rnacentral:rRNA from 1 species